rnacentral:rRNA from 1 species
GACGAACGCUGGCGGCGUGCUUAACACAUGCAAGUCGAACGGAAAGGCCCUGCUUUUGUGGGGUGCUCGAGUGGCGAACGGGUGAGUAACACGUGAGUAACCUGCCCUUGACUUUGGGAUAACUUCAGGAAACUGGGGCUAAUACCGGAUAGGAGCUCCUGCUGCAUGGUGGGGGUUGGAAAGUUUCGGUGGUUGGGGAUGGACUCGCGGCUUAUCCGCUUGUUGGUGGGGUAGUGGCUUACCAAGGCUUUGACGGGUAGCCGGCCUGAGAGGGUGACCGGCCACAUUGGGACUGAGAUACGGCCCAGACUCCUACGGGAGGCAGCAGUGGGGAAUAUUGCACAAUGGGCGGAAGCCUGAUGCAGCAACGCCGCGUGCGGGAUGACGGCCUUCGGGUUGUAAACCGCUUUCGCCUGUGACGAAGCGUGAGUGACGGUAAUGGGUAAAGAAGCACCGGCUAACUACGUG